GUCUCCUACAAAGUGAAGGUCAACCUUAUGGUUUCCAGAGGAGGCAUCCUGGGAGACCUGACAGCCAGUGAUGUUUGUGUGGAACUCCCCUUGAUCUUGAUGUCUCCGAAACCUGCAGACGUCACAGACAUAAAUCUUGAGUAGAUUCCCCUGGAAAGAUGACGUAUAAUGAAAGACAGCAAGGAGGACAGACUGACUCAGCCCAUCAGAUACGUUGUGAUCAGAACACCAAAUGGGGCGGCUAUUGUUUCUCCUUGCAAUGCAAUUACCUAGCCCCUCCCUCUUUUGAAUUUUCCAUCAAGAAAGUGCUCAGAGGUGCUGGGAGACCUCAGUACAGUCUGAAGACCAUUCACUGUCUACCAACACUGCUGCAUUUUUGUCCCCUGCACAGGUGUUUCUAUUUAGGGUUUAUUUAACGUAAAAUGCAUGUAUACCCAAAAUAGUCAGUAGCACAUCCAUGCAAUAGUCUUCUAAUAUUCCACAAUGUCAGGGUAUAGAUGUAACAUUUUUACUGAAUAAGAAAAUAUGGGGAUAAGUUAUUCAUGGGGAUAAGUCGUUCAUAAGUUAUUCUGACUGUACAAAGCAAACCUGUAGAUGUGCUGAUUUUGAGUACAAAUAAUAUACUUUAGUAUUUAGUAUUGUGUUACUUUUGGGAAAUGCGUAACCUGUGUCAUUUUUGUAUUCUGUUUCAACAAAUCUAACAUGUACAACCCUUUUGCACU